UUGUCCCGCAGAAAACAGGAGGGUGCGAGGGGCGGAGAGAUGGGACUCAUGUUCACGCAGUGUGAACACUCCAUCUCGGUCAGAGCAGCUUCUUCAUGGGGCUUGCCCACACAGGAAACGCAAUCCGAUGCUGCGUUUUCACCGAAAUUACCCGGAACAUUUGUACCAGGAACUUUUUUCCCCAGGAACUUUUCCCCCCCCAGACCUGUUGCUUUCUGCAUUUCCACCGCGGUGUAAAGUACCAGGAAGAUUAGGCAAAUAGACUGGUGACGUAGGUCUGCGCGCGUUUCAAAGUACGCUGAUUUUGGAUGUGCAUCCUCGGUAGUUCAGACUUUGCGCAUUCGACUCGGGAGUGUGAUGUCUGCUACGAUGCGAAUCCGGUAAUUCUGCAAACAGCAGCGUACUUGAUAACUUCAGUCAGCUGACCAUGGCUACUGGAAUUUUCCUCUCUGUAUAUUUACAAUAAAACGAAAUAGGAUAUCAAAUACCACUGCCUCCUUUCAUUUUCAUUUAAACAUAAUAACAGCUGCAGAAAUGUACUUAGUUCAGGGAUAUGUGUAUAUACAGCCAUUACAAUGAAACAAAGUAUUAUAUAAAUUUGCCUUUUUUAUUUUUAUUUUAACAUAAAGAUAAAUUGAAUACAGACCAAAGAUAACCUGUUAGAUUUACCCAAAACAAAUUAUAUUUAAUGUUUAACCACUAAACCACUAACCACUUUGGGGGAAGUCGUGGCCUAAUGGUUAGAGGGUUGGACUCCCAAUUGAAGGGUUGUGGGUUCUAGUCUCGGGCCGGACGGAAUUGUGGGUGGGGGGAGUGCAUGUACAGUUCUCUCUCCACCUUCAAUACCAUGACUUAGGUGCCCUUGAGCAAGGCAUCGAACCCCCAACUGCUCCCCGGGCGCCGCAGCAUAAAUGGCUACCCACUGCUCCGGGUGUGUGCUCACAGUGUGUGUGUGCAUUUCGGAUGGGUUAAAUGCAGAGCACAAAUUCUGAGUAUGGGUCACCAUACUUGGCUGAAUGUCACUUCACUCACUUCACUAAAGAGACAUCAGAGCCAGCGGCACAUAUCAGAAGGUCUAGCCUUCUGAACUCCUGUUGAUCGCGUGGAGCUCAGCGUCUCUGAGAUCGGCGAAACACAUUUUUAAAUAGGUGCUGUCUUUAUAAAUAAACCACAUAUUUGAGUUUUAAACAAAUACAUUCUCGCCUGAAAUACUUUUAAAAUUACAUUUCACGACACAAUAACAGUAAUAUUUUGAAAAUAAUCAGAAUAAAUGGUGUUUGAACUCAACCAAUGCUGCGUGAACUCAACUAAUCAGGAUGUUUAGCGCCCCCGAAAGCUCCGGAACUUUGAAAAAGUACUACCUCGCCAGCAGGGACUUUCUGAGGGGCAUUUUUUACCCGGAACUUUAUUUAGUUCCUGGUUCCUGCUGUGGAAACACACCGAGUACCAGGCCAAAGUUCCUAGUUCCUGGGUAAAGUUCCUGCGGUGGAAACGAGGCAUGAGUGGCCAUCGACAGCAUGCAAUGCAAUCCUGAUGACGUGGCAUGUGCAGCAACACUGCUGCUCUUUUAGAAUGCAAAAAUUAGCGAACCAAUGGCCGUGCAGUUACACUGUGUGAUUGUAAAAGUGAAAGUGAAAAAGUGAAAGUGAAAAAGUGAAAGUGAAGUGACAUUCAACCAAGUAUGGUGACCCAUACUCAGAAUUUGUGCUCUGCAUUUAACCCAUCCGAAAUGCGCACACACACAGAGCAGUGAACACACACACACACACACACACACACACACACACACACACACACACACACACACACACACACACACACACACACACACACACACACACACACACACACACACACACACACACACACCCGGAGCAGUGGGCAGCCAUUUAUGCUGCGGCGCCCGGGGAGCAGUUGGGGGUUCGAUGCCUUGCUCAAGGGCACCUAAGUCAUGGUAUUGAAGGUGGAGAGAGAGCUGUUCAUGCACUCCCCCCACCCACAAUUCCGUCCGGCCCGAGACUAGGACCCACAACCCUUCGAUUGGGAGUCCAACCCUCUAACCAUUAGGCCACGACUUCCCUUCCCUUCAAAAGCUUCAGUCCUCCGAGAAAAAGAAGUCUUCACAUAGCAUCUAGUUCAAAAGAAAACUAUAUUAUUGUUAUUUUGAUGACAAUUUAGGAAAUUUAUUAAAAUUAAGCUUUUGGUGAAAAUGGUAUAAAAAGUUUAAAAUUUACUAAUCUAAUAUGGAUAUAAAAAGCUUUCUAAAAGAAAAGAAAAAAAUCUUUUCAUCAUAGUCAUAAAGAUGUGGAUCAGUCUGAUGUUUUAGCAGGCAGUUUUUGUUUAGAUAAAAGUAAAUAAUAAUAUUAAUAAUAAUGAUAAUAAUAAUUACAUUGCUUUGUUAUAAUUACAAGCCAGCUAGUUAUACCUGCUGUAAUCAGACUGAAAACUGUCACCAAUUCUGUCAAUCAUCAAGCUUGGUUCCCUGAGCAGUCGCAUGCCUGAGCAAUCAGUGGAGAGAAGGGCCCUCGCACCGCCGUCCAAGCAUUAACACACAGAUAUAAAGUAACCUGUGGGGACAGUCACCAUGGAAACUUGCCUCAUUACGCCAAAACCAAGAAAUAUAAAGCGAGUGAGGGACACGCACCUGCCAUUUCACAACACAACUUUGCCAGAGUUCCAUUUUGUACAGUUAAGAAAGAACUAAGGAGAAAUACUCUUUGUUUAGGUGCGGUCAAAACUUAACCAAACAGUUUAAAUGGAUUAGAUACAAGUGGACAUUUUGUGAAGAGUACAAACCCUCAUCUUCAAUAUUACAUAUUUAACUGUAUGUGAGGAGCCCUGGACACAACAUUCAGAUGGAGUGAAGAGUUAGGCCUGGAUUGCACCUUGGAAAAAAGGUCAAGAAAUGGAGUCUAAUGCAGUUCCUUGAGGCACCUAUUUUUAUAUUUAACUAACCUUGGCUGGGAGUAUAAGUGCACUAUGGGGAAUAGCAACUCCAGGCCAAGGAUUUGCCAAGUUGCACCAUCUCAUUGUCAACCAAUGGCAAAUGAGCCUUCUCUGUUCCCAUCUUCAUCAAAGAUGAUCACUGCUGUUAAAGAUGCAGAGAUGCAAGAGAAAGGGAUUGUGGUACAGAGGAAGACCAACCAUCUGCCUCCUUUGACAGGAAAACACAAAAUACCUAAUUCUGUUCAUUUAAAACCAGGACAGGGAGUGGAGAGAUGGGCCUGUCCACUGCUGUUCCAAUCCCAUCCUGGGAAGGUACUGUGGCACAAGCAAAACACUACAGGGACACAUGAAAGGUCUCCUGCUGGCACAGACGAUGCUCAGUCGCCAAGCAACCAAGAAGCGGCAAGCUCAGCAGAGGUGCUUUAGGGAAAGUCGAGGGAAACAGAAGAGGGUAUACACCUCUUAUCGUGAGUCCCUCAGUGCAAUCGUUUUACCAAUUGUAGAAUUGCCCUUAUGGUCCUUUCAAUUCUGGUUGAGUACUUAACCUCACUGUUUUAUUUGACAGUGAAAGGAGAUGAGAUGGGAGGACAGAGGGUUCGGCUUGUGUCCAGGCCAAUGCAACAAAACAUCUUCUGGGAUGAGUCUGAAGGACAGAUUCUGGAUGUAAGGGAGCUGCUGCAGCCAAGUCCACAGUUGACAGACCAAAACAUGGGAGACACAAUGAGUGACAAACCACUAAUGGAAAAUGAAAUCCCGCCAGUGGUAGAAGACCAGAAAUGUAUAAGUCUGGGAAAGGAAUGUUGUCAUAAGAACUCCCUGAACUCUCCAAAUAGUAGAACAGAUCUGUACAGUGGUUUGAGCGAAACUGUGCAAAGGCCUUGUAAUGCAAGCGUGAAGUUACCUUGACAUUCUGAAAACGAGUAUGGACAUUACUCUGGUUCAUUCUGGAAAAUUUUAUCUACACGAAGAAUGAGAAAUUAACAAGAGGCCUUUGUUACAGGCAGACUCUGAAAAGCACAGUUAGUCUGAGAGGAUGCGAGCACAAGUGUACAUUAAAUGAUUAUUCAAUCUAAUUUGUACUGCAUCUGUGGUAUGUUGUCAAUUACUCAGAAACCAUUAACUCAACCUUCAGCUCAUAAGUGAGGGGGAAUGUGAUUACAGUAGUACACAUCUAGUGCAACUACUACAACUUCUACCAAACAAGCAGGUCAUAAUGGUUUAUAAUUCCUGUGGAGUCUGCAGAAUUUAGGUGCAAGUCAACAGUACUUAACAGAUAAACUUUGAUCCUUCCAUUUCUUGCCAGGUGUAAAUUGGAGCAAUUUAAUCUGGAAUAGUUCUUCCACAAUAGUGAAAGCGUAAUGGUUAACAACCUGGGCUGCUGAAGACUGGUUGCGACAUCAAUCCCGAUUUUACAAAUUUGUACUGUGGUGAUGCUAAAGCCUA